AUUGAACGCUGGCGGAAUGCUUUACACAUGCAAGUCGAACGGCAGCACGGGGGCAACCCUGGUGGCGAGUGGCGAACGGGUGAGUAAUACAUCGGAACGUGCCCAGUCGUGGGGGAUAACGUAGCGAAAGUUACGCUAAUACCGCAUACGAUCUACGGAUGAAAGCGGGGGACCGUAAGGCCCCGCGCGAUUGGAGCGGCGGAUGUCAGAUUAGGUAGUUGGUGAGGUAAAGGCUCACCAAGCCGACGAUCUGUAGCUGGUCUGAGAGGACGACCAGCCACACUGGGACUGAGACACGGCCCAGACUCCUACGGGAGGCAGCAGUGGGGAAUUUUGGACAAUGGGCGCAAGCCUGAUCCAGCCAUUCCGCGUGCAGGACGAAGGCCUUCGGGUUGUAAACUGCUUUUGUACGGAACGAAAAGGCUCUGGUUAAUACCUGGGGCUCAUGACGGUACCGUAAGAAUAAGCACCGGCUAACUACGUGCCAGCAGCCGCCGUAA
rnacentral:rRNA from 1 species